rnacentral:lncRNA from 10 species
AUCACACGCACGUGUGUGCACUUGGGUGUGUGUUGAUGAGAAAGAGGGUGGGGAUAUGGCAAGUCUUCACACACUGCCUUUCAGUAUGGACACUGGAACAUCAGAACAAAACUGCAUCUCUAACUCAACUCAAUUGUACUAAAUGUAACUGAAUAUCCAGUUAUUGAGUCACGGGAAUAUCAUGUUUCAGGUGACUUUAAGCAAAAAUAGGCAUUACCGACUUGCCUUCCAAUUCCAUUUUUUUCUGCUCAAUAAUAAUGAACAUCUAACACUCUAAAAAACAUUGUCUUGCACAACAAUGGAAAUAUAUCACUAAAUUGUGCACACUUAAAAAUGGCUGCAAUGGGACAGGCAUGGUGGCUCAUGCCUGUAAUCCCAGCACUUCGGGAGGCCGAGGUGGGUGGAUACUCUAGCCUGGGCAACAGAGUGAGAUUCCAUCUCAAAACAAAAACAAAAACAAAAAACAAAACACAAAACAAAAAAGGCUGAAAUGGUAAACUGUAUGUAAUGUAUAUUUUGCCACAGUAAAAAAAAAAUAUAACUUUCUUUCUAAAAUACUUGGCAUAGGACAAGACAGUGCUUCUCUGAGGCAUACAUCCCAUUUGUUGCUCAGCUACAGAGCCCCUGGGUGAGCUCAGCUCUGGUAACCUUUAGUUGCUACCUUCAUCCUGAGGACACGGGGGCCUUGCUCCUGAACUUCUGAAUAACAAAUCUCCUGGCAAAUCAAUCCUCUCAGAUGCCCUAAGUCUCCUCCGACCCCAAUCACCAACACUACCCAGAGUGCACUAGGCUCUAGCUAAGCCCUAAUCACCCACACUACCCAGAGUGCACUAGGCCCCAGCCAACCCCCAAUCACCUAUACUACCCAGAGUACACUAGGCUCUUCUAGGAUCUAAGCACCCACUGCAAAUAGCAAACACCUAUUCUCCCUGACCCCACAGAACUCACAGCUCAGUCUUUCUCUGUCCUCACAUUUCCAUUUUUAAUAUGCAGGUGAGAUGAUAUAUCCUUACAUGCCCUAGAGACAUUUGCAUUUUUUUCUUCAGUGGCAUGUUGUGGCUCCCUGCUGGAUGGCUCACCCCUCCAGGCUCUGACCCAUGACCAGUGGCCCUGCCUAACUGGCC